CAUUGCAUUCAACAGUGAUCUUGGCUGCCUGUGUCCCAGUCAUGAAAGUUCAGAGAAAGGAUACUGAAAGAGAUGUUCCCCAAGUUUGGGGCAUCCAUCCUGACCCCUGGAGCUUUCCUACA
ensembl:snoRNA SNORA71 Small nucleolar RNA SNORA71